UCACUGAUGGUGUAGUGGUUCACACGCCUGCCUUCGGUGCAGGGCAGCGUGGGAUCGAUUCCCGCUCAGUGAU